rnacentral:rRNA from 1 species
GGGGGAUAUUGCACAAUGGGCGAAAGCCUGAUGCAGCAACGCCGCGUGAGGGAAGACGGUUUUCGGAUUGUAAACCUCUGUCUUCGGUGAAGAAAAAAAUGACGGUAGCCGAGGAGGAAGCCACGGCUAACUACGUGCCAGCAGCCGCGGUAAUACGUAGGUGGCGAGCGUUGUCCGGAAUUACUGGGUGUAAAGGGAGCGCAGGCGGGGAGACAAGUCAGCUGUGAAAACUAUGGGCUUAACCCAUAGACUGCAGUUGAAACUGUUUUUCUUGAGUGGAGUAGAGGUAGGCGGAAUUCCGAGUGUAGCGGUGAAAUGCGUAGAUAUUCGGAGGAACACCAGUGGCGAAGGCGGCCUACUGGGCUCUAACUGACGCUGAGGCUCGAAAGUGUGGGGAGCAAAC